rnacentral:rRNA from 1 species
AGAGCGAACGCUGGCGGCAGGCUUAACACAUGCAAGUCGAGCGGGCGUAGCAAUACGUCAGCGGCAGACGGGUGAGUAACGCGUGGGAACAUACCUUUUGGUUCGGAACAACCCAGGGAAACUUGGGCUAAUACCGGAUAAGCCCUUACGGGGAAAGAUUUAUCGCCGAAAGAUUGGCCCGCGUCUGAUUAGCUAGUUGGUGAGGUAACGGCUCACCAAGGCGACGAUCAGUAGCUGGUCUGAGAGGAUGAUCAGCCACAUUGGGACUGAGACACGGCCCAAACUCCUACGGGAGGCAGCAGUGGGGAAUAUUGGACAAUGGGCGCAAGCCUGAUCCAGCCAUGCCGCGUGAGUGAUGAAGGCCCUAGGGUUGUAAAGCUCUUUUGUGCGGGAAGAUAAUGACGGUACCGCAAGAAUAACGCCCCGGCUAACGUUCGCGCCAGCAGCC